GCAUGAGUAAAGUCAUGUUUCCUUCGGGACACUGGAGACAGGUGGUGCAUGGUUGUCGUCAGCUCGUGUCGUGAGAUGUUGGGUUAAGUCCCGCAACGAGCGCAACCCCUAUUUCCAGUAGCCAGCAUGUAAAGAUGGGCACUCUGGAGAGACUGCCUAGGAUAACUAGGAGGAAGGCGGGGAUGACGUCAAAUCAUCAUGCCCCUUAUGAUCAGGGCUACACACGUGCUACAAUGGCGUAAACAAAGGGAAGCGAAGUGGUGACGCCAAGCAAAUCCCAAAAAUAACGUCCCAGUUCGGAUUGUAGUCUGCAACUCGACUACAUGAAGCUGGAAUCGCUAGUAAUCGCGAAUCAGAAUGUCGCGGUGAAUACGUUCCCGGGUCUUGUACACACCGCCCGUCACACCAUGGGAGUCGGAAAUGCCCGAAGUCAGUGACCUAACCGAAAGGGAGGAGCUGCCGAAGGUGGAGCCGGUAACUGGGGUGAAGUCGUAACAAGGUAGCCGUAUCGGA
rnacentral:rRNA from 1 species